GGAAGGAUCAUUGAAAAGUCUGUAGUAGGGGGGGGGAACCCCGGAAGAUAGGUGAGAUGGCAACUGAUGUUGAUAUCUUUUCUUGAAACUGGGAAAUAAAAGCCACUGGUGACUAUUGUGUUGCCGCCGUGCUGGCUGCUGAUAGCAAAACCAGCUGCUGGUGCUCCUUUUUUUGAUUUCCACUUUUGAUUCCUGCCUGAUGAAUUGAGGGUGUGCUAUGUGCUCCCGAUAGAAACCUGUAAAUAACUUUUAACAAUGGAUCUCUUGGCUCUCGCAUCGAUGAAGGACGCAGCGAAAUGCGAUAGGUAGUGUGAAUUGCAGAAUUCAGUGAAUCAUCGAAUCUUUGAACGCACAUUGCGCCCUUUGGUAUUCCAGAGGGCACUCCUGUUUGUACCAAAAGUAGGAAGGGGGGGGGGUGUGAGACACGCUUUUAAGUGUGUCAUAUCCCCAGGAGCUGGACUUGUGAUGGCUUAGUCAUCCAGUCCUGACUGUGAUGUGUGUGAAAUAAGUUUUUGCAUCCGCAGGCCAGGUAGUCCAUGUUACAUCCUGUUUCACUCUGACUGAUGCGCAAGUCACACUCUUUUUGGUUUGCACUUUUGCUUGCGUUAUAUGCUUUUGUUAGAUAGCAUCGCUGUACUUUAGUGCAAAACAAAAAACCCAAAACAAGUAUAUAUUGAUUUUAUUACUAAUAGUGUGAUACUAUGUAAUAAACUGAUAUGUAGUUUGUUUUGCUUUUCAGAGGAUAGUGAUGAUGCAGCUCGUUAGAAAUUCAGGUUGAUUUUUAUCAGGAUUUGUGUCCAAAUCAGGAGGGAUUACCCGCUGAACUUAAGCAUAUUAAUAAGCGGAGGAAAAGAAACUAACAAGGAUUCCCUUAGUAACGGCGAGUGAAGCGGGAGGAGCUCAAUUUUGGAAUCGAUAAAGUAUAUUUGUCGAGUUGUAGUCUAAAGACACGUUUUCUGGGGCUGGUCUGGAAUAAAUCCCUUGGAAUGGGGUGUCAUAGAGGGUGAAAAUCCCGUCUCUGGCCAGACGUAGUUAGUCGAAGUGUGAUACGUGUUCAAAGAGUCGCGUUGUUUGGGAAUGCAGCGCAAAUUGGGUGGUAAAUUUCAUCCAAAGCUAAAUACUGGCGAGAGACCGAUAGUGAACAAGUACCGUGAGGGAAAGAUGAAAAGAACUUUGAAAAGAGAGUUAAAAAGUACGUGAAAUUGUUAAAAGGGAAACGCACGGAAUCAGACUGAGUUUGACGGGAGGCUUUGCUGGCAGAAACUUGGACCUGUUGUUUCUUUGGUAGCAGACAGGCCCUAAGCUUUGCCACUGCAAGUUCCGCCUCUACGUUGACGGUUGACGUCAGCUUCUCGCCGUCCAACAGUGCUAUCUCUUUGGUUUUGGCCAGGGGUGAUUGCGGGCGGCAGAGGCUGAGGACUGCAGCGCGACAUGGGGGAAACCCUGUGGAUGUGACGCCAGUAAUGUGCGCGUGCGCUAUGGAUCGUUCAACUUAAUGGUUCUGUACGACCCGUCUUGAAACACGGACCAAGGAGUCUAACAUGUAUGCGAGUACUUGGGAUCUAAACCUGUGUGCGCAAUGAAAGUGAAUGGAGGUGGGAACCCCUCGUCUUGUGGGGGGGUGCACCAUCAACCGAUCUGGAUAUUUUUUGAUGGAUUUGAGUUAGAGCAUACCUGUUGGGACCCGAAAGAUGGUGAACUAUACCUGAAUAGGGUGAAGUCAGAGGAAACUCUGAUGGAGGCUCGUAGCGAUUCUGACGUGCAAAUCGAUCGUCGAAUUUGGGUAUAGGGGCGAAAGACUAAUCGAACCAUCUAGUAGCUGGUUCCUGC
rnacentral:misc_RNA from 1 species